AAUUAAGAAGCAAUUCAUGCGUCCAGUUUCGACCUGGAAGAUAGAUUAUAUUUAAUCCUUAAUUA
rnacentral:tRNA from 2 species